UUUGACCAGGCUGAGAACUUCUGCUGGAGGUGAUAGGCAUUCCUUAAAUGCCAGUGGCCAGAGGAAUAGAAAAUAUCUUCAUUUAACCUCCCAAGGAGUUGAACUGGCGCAUCAGAAGGGAGAAGGUGAAGAUGCCAGUACAAUUAAGUUCUACAAGGUCUGUCCUGACAAUGGUGAGAUUAUCCAUCACUUUUCGAAGGCCCUCCAAAUCUGUCUCCAAGGUUGUACGAUAGGCCCUUUCUGUGUCAUACCUGGAACCACAAAUCAAAGGUCUGCAUCUGAAGUCACUCUUACAGCACUGCUGGGACCCAGAAGAAGAUGCUGGAGCUGUCCCUGACGCCGGGAGAAGAUCCUUGAAUCUGGAGUAUUGUGAAAACCAGACAGGGCAUGUUGCCUGAGGCCUUAGCCUAGCACAAUGAAUUCUUCUACAAAAAAUGCAAGCACUCAAUAAAA